GUUGUGGCUCAGUGGUAGAGUGCUCACCUAGCAUAUGUGAAGCACUGGGUUCAAUCCUCAGCAUCACA
rnacentral:tRNA from 1 species